rnacentral:tRNA from 1 species
GCGGGCAUAGUUUAGUGGUAAAAUAUUAGCCUUCCAAGCUUAGGAUGCGGGUUCGAUUCCCGCUGCCCGCU